UACAGAGGGUGCAAGCGUUAAUCGGAAUUACUGGGCGUAAAGCGCACGUAGGCGGUUUUUUAAGUCAGAUGUGAAAGCCCCGGGCUCAACCGGGGAAUUGCAUUUGAAACUGGGGAACUAGAGUGUGUGAGAGGGGGGUAGAAUUCCAAGUGUAGCGGUGAAAUGCGUAGAGAUUUGGAGGAAUACCAGUGGCGAAGGCGGCCCCCUGGCACAACACUGACGCUCAGGUGCGAAAGCGUGGGGAGCAAACAGG
rnacentral:rRNA from 1 species